UUGAAGUAUCUAAAAUAAAAGCUUCUAACUUUUAAUUAAGCAUUAAUUUGUUUGU
rnacentral:tRNA from 1 species